UACAUGGGGUGCAAACGUUGCUCGGAAUCAUUGGGCGUAAAGCGCACGUAGGCGGUUCGUUAUGUCGGAUGUGAAAGCCCUCGGCUUAACCGGGGAAGUGCAUCCGAAACUGGCGAGCUUGAGUACUAAAGAGGGUCGCGGAAUUCCCGGUGUAGAGGUGAAAUUCGUAGAUAUCGGGAGGAACACCAGUGGCGAAGGCGGCGAUCUGGGAAGAUACUGACGCUGAGGUGCGAAAGCGUGGGGAGCAAACAGG
rnacentral:rRNA from 1 species